GAUGAACGCUGGCGGCAUGCCUAACACAUGCAAGUCGAACGGUAACACGAAGCAGCUGUCUGCUUUGCUGACGAGUGGCGGGCGGGUGAGUCAUGUCUGGGAAACUGCCCGAUGUAGGGGGAUAACUCGUGGAAACGGUAGCUAAUACCGCAUAACUUCGCAAGACCAAAGGGGGGUAGCUAAGGGCCUCUUUCCUUCGGAUGUUCCCAGAUGGGAUUCGUUAGUAGGUGGGGUAACGGCUCACCUAGGCGACGAUCCGUAGCUGGUCUGAGAGGAUGACCAGCCACACUGGAACUGAGACACGGUCCAGACUCCUACGGGAGGCAGCAGUGGGGAAUAUUGCACAAAGGGCGCAAGCCUGAUGCAGCCAGGCCGCGUGUGUGAAGAAGGCCUUCGGGUUGUAAAGUACUUUUAGCGGGGAGGAAGGGAGUAAAGUUAAUACCUUUGCUCAUUGACGGUACCCGCAGAAGAAGCACCGGCUAACUCCGUG
rnacentral:rRNA from 1 species